CGAAAUCCCAAUUGCUCGGGUGCACAUUCCCUCCACGGUCCCAACGCUCGGGGACGCCUGCCCACAGUCCUGCCCUGUUUACAUGCACUUCCUGCUCCGAGGGGCACGUGGCCCCGGCCACCUCCAGUCCGGGCCUCCAGCGCCUCACAGGCCAUUCGGUCCCAGUCCUUGUCAGUGCGUUAAAAAUACCAACUUGCAGUUAUCAGAAUACGAAAGGCUCAGGCGCCCUAACACCGGGCUUCACUUCCCUGCACGGCUCAUUUUUAAGUACCUAGUCCUACCCGGAGCUGCUGCUGCCCGCAGAGGGUGGCCCGGGCCCCCACCCAGUCGUGGGGAAACCAAGGCCUCGAGAGGUGCCCACCGCUUGAGGGGCGCGGAGCGGCUGUUCCGGGGACCGGCGGUCGGAGGGCAGGUCCGCCCACUGCUCGGGCCGGGGGCGCACGGCGUGGCCACCAGGUACCUCACUCUCCCCUGGCGCUCGGUACUUGGUUCUGGCAAAGAGCUACUUUUCACCCAACAAUACAGCGUCCCCGGGGGUCACCCGCGGCGGGGUGAGGGGCGUCCCUGCACCCGGUAAACACACAGCUGCAGGGCGCGUGAACAGGGGCAGCAAUGGCACAUGAAACACGCCUGAAACUAUCUUCUCAGCCCCCGUCGUGUGACGGUUGGCACCCCAGUGCCCUCAGAAGGCUGAUGCUCGUCCCACAUGCCCGAUUCUCCGCCAGCGAACUAACGACUUUGCCUGAGGAAAUCCUGAUACAAAGGUCCCCGUGAGAUGUGAGAACGAGAAGUGGCACCACAUUGGCUGGGCUGCCCGGCUAGCUCGUGGCCCUGGAUAAAAUCAACCUGCAGGAUAAGGAAACAGUGUUCCUCAUUAUUGACAGGCUCAAGAUGCGACUGCUGAAAAAUCUGUGAAACGCGGACCAAGUGUGCCCAUUGACUGUGGUGCCAUUUGCAGCCAGCAAAGCAGCUAAUCGUUGGGAAGAUGCCCAAAAAGUGGUAGUUAUGGAAACCUCGAUAGUAGAGCUACAGAGGGAUUUCUGCAGAGGAUUUUGUAGUAAUGGGCAGCCUCCAAGGAGGAACCCUCACAAUCUGCACCUCCUAACAGUCACAACCCUUGUGUCUGCCCUCCUGAGACUAUACAGGGAGACUGUCUUCUUUCUAAGCAGGAGCACGUGGCCAGAGGGACGGGAUGUCACUUCCAAAACGGUGUUGCCUAUGACUGUAACUUCCAUCUUCCUAGCCUUGCUGCCUCUACUGGAAGCCAGCUGUUAUUUUGUGAGCUGUUAAUGGAGACGUGGCCAGGCCGGAAGGUGUGGAGGUGACCACCAGCACACACACACCCAGGGAGAAACAGGAGCCCUCCAUUCCUGCCGUGGAUCACACGAGCGUGGAAGCAGACCCUCCUGUGGACUCACAGGAGACCGGAGCCCUGGAUGAGAUGUUUGCAGCCUGAAGCAGGGGACUAGGUCACAUUGCACAACUUGCCCGACUCCCAGGGACCUUGAGAUGAUAAAUGUGUGUUGCUUAAGCCUCUGACUUUGGGGCUAAUUUGUUACGCAGUGAGAGACGACUAAUACAAAGUAGAGGCACUCGGUGUACAGGCGCAGGCUUCUGAACUCAAGUUCUGUUAUUCUGCAUGAAAAGAGGAAUGUGAUUGUGUCAUAUUUCGAGGCCUCUUCCCCUCCUAGCACGUUGUGUGGCUCUAGAGAGUUCCCUGGUGUAUUGUCUGCUGGAGCAAAUCUUCCCCAAGGAACAAAGCAUUUUAUUCCUGUGGGGUCUGUGGUGUGGUGCUGGCCCGCCUCACCAGCUUUUCAGGGAGCAUCCCAUAUCCCAAAGCCGAAGGCAGGCACGAGGAUCAAUUGCACCAUCAAUUUAAAAGGACCCCAACGUGAAUCCCGUGAAAUGGCCUCCCCUUGGAUUUUGGUACUGUGUUUACCAAGAGACGCAGAGAUGUAGGUGUCAGUCCUGACCCAGCCUGUGACAACUGGGGACAGUUGUACCUGUGGCACAGUCUGUGCCAGUCCCUCUCACUUCCACGCCCAGGAAGACACAGAUGUCUCGUGAGCAGGAAAAUUGAAUUUGGCAUCUCAUUAACACCCACAGAACCUGGAGCCCACAGUUAUCUGGAAUGAUCAGAUGUCACAAAAACAUGGACAGAAAAUGGGAAGCACGGAUAACCAUGCACAAAACACAAGAAGACCAUGGAGCUGUCCCCAGGAGAGAGAGCAGAAAGCAACUGAAGACAUCAUCUGGGUGGACACGCAAGUCCUGAAGUUGGACACACAGGCGUUUGCAACAUGCCUGACCCUGGCUCAUGCUAACUUGGGCUGCAUGACUUACCUUUAUCAGUUCCCCAGUGUACAAAAUAAUCAACAUUUCUCCCUCAUUGACAGGGGUUCUUUAAGGAUUGAAAUAAAUUAUGUCCAGCCUGACAGUACUGAUGUUUACAUGGUGUUGA